rnacentral:rRNA from 1 species
AUUGAACGCUGGCGGCAGGCCUAACACAUGCAAGUCGGGCGAGGGGCGGACGGGUGAGUAAUGUAUGGGGAUCUGCCUGAUGGCGGGGGAUAACUAAUGGAAACGGUAGAUAAUACCGCAAACCAUCAGAUGAAAGCAUAUGGGAUUAGCUAGUAGGUAAGGUAACGGCUUACCUAGGAGACGAUCCUUAGCUGGUCUGAGAGGAUGGUCAGCCACACUAGGACUGAGACACGGCCCAGACUCCUACGGGAGGUAGCAGUGGGGAAUAUUGCACAAUGGGCGAAAGCCUGAUGCAGCAAUGCCGUCUGUAUGAAGAAGGCCUUCGGGUUGUAAAGUACUUGUAGUCGGGAGGCGUUACCGACAGAAGAAGCACCGGCUAACUCCGUGACAGCAGCCGCGGUAAUUC